UACGUAGGGUGCAAGCGUUGUCCGGAAUUAUUGGGCGUAAAGAGCUCGUAGGCGGUCAGUCGCGUCUGCUGUGAAAACUCGGGGCUUAACUCCGGCCUGCAGUGGGUACGGGCUGACUAGAGUGCGGUAGGGGAGACUGGAAUUCCUGGUGUAGCGGUGAAAUGCGCAGAUAUCAGGAGGAACACCGGUGGCGAAGGCGGGUCUCUGGGCCGUAACUGACGCUGAGGAGCGAAAGCGUGGGGAGCAAACAGG
rnacentral:rRNA from 1 species